rnacentral:lncRNA from 1 species
GNGCCCCACGCUGCUGAAGGCGCCGUUGCCACAGCGUCCACCGCCCAAGUUGCCCGACGCUGCCCGAGCCGCAUCUGCCAUCGCCGCCCGAGCUGCUAAGCCCGAGCCGAACGCCAAUCGAACCGACGCCGCGUGCACCAUCAACACCAUCUUGCCUGUUGCCGUUGCCGCUGAAGCCGAGGUCGCAACGUCUCAAUUGAUUUGAUUGCUUCGGGAAUGGGGAGCAAGAAAAAAACAUUAAAAGGAAAAAAAAUAGAGUGUUGUUUCUUUGCUUACUCUGAAGUGUACCCCAUAAAUUUUUUAAUGAUAUUUUGAGUUAAAUUAAAAAAAUGAUGAGACUUGCAUAUUGUUAAAAGACGCAAAGAGAGAGCGCCCGGUCAUCCACAUCUUCUUCAAUUGCAAAGCAAAACAAAAACAAAGAAAAAAGAGAGGAAAAAGAGC